GACGAACGCUGGCGGCGUGCUUAACGCAUGCAAGUCGAACGGUAAGGCCCUUCGGGGUACACGAGUGGCGAACGGGUGAGUAACACGUGGGUGAUCUGCCCUGCACUUCGGGAUAAGCCUGGGAAACUGGGUCUAAUACCGGAUAGGACCCUGGGAUGCAUGUCCUGGGGUGGAAAGCUUUUGCGGUGUGGGAUGGGCCCGCGGCCUAUGAGCUUGUUGUGGGGGUGAUGGCCUACCAAGGCGACGACGGGUAGCCGGCCUGAGAGGGUGACCGGCCACACUGGGACUGAGAUACGGCCCAGACUCCUACGGGAGGCAGCAGUGGGGAAUAUUGCACAAUGGGCGCAAGCCUGAUGCAGCGACGCCGCGUGAGGGAUGACGGCCUUCGGGUUGUAAACCUCUUUCAGCACCGACGAAGCGCAAGUGACGGUAGGUGCAGAAGAAGGACCGGCCAACUACGUGCCAGCCGCCGCCGUAA
rnacentral:rRNA from 1 species